rnacentral:rRNA from 1 species
UACGAAGGGGGCUAGCGUUGUUCGGAAUUACUGGGCGUAAAGCGUGCGCAGGCGGUUUGCUAAGACCGAUGUGAAAUCCCCGGGCUUAACCUGGGAACUGCAUUGGUGACUGGCAGGCUAGAGUAUGGCAGAGGGGGGUAGAAUUCCACGUGUAGCAGUGAAAUGCGUAGAGAUGUGGAGGAAUACCGAUGGCGAAGGCAGCCCCCCUGGGCCAAUACUGACGCUCAUGCACGAAAGCGUGGGGAGCAAACAGG